GACGAACGCUGGCGGCGUGCUUAACACAUGCAAGUCGAACGGAAAGGCCCUGCUUUUGUGGGGUGCUCGAGUGGCGAACGCGUGAGUAACACGUGAGUAACCUGCCCUUGACUUUCGGAUAACAUCACGUAACGGGGGCUAAUACAGUAUAGGAUCUCCUGCUGCAUGGUGGGGGUUGGAAAUUUUCGGCUGUUGGGGCUGGACUGGCGGCUUAUCAGCUUGUUGGUGGGGUAGGGGAUUACCAAGGCUUUGAAGGGUAGCCGGCCUGGGAGGGUGACCGGCGUCCAUGCGCCUACGAGAGGCAGCAGUGGCGAAUGGUAGGCAGUAGUGGGGAGCCUGGCACAGUGAGCGCGCGUGUGUGAAGAAGGCGUUGCGUUCGUAAAGCCCUCUUUUGGGGAAAGAAAAGCUGUCGCCUGAGACGAAGCGUUACUGACGGUACUGAAUAAAGAAGCACCGGCUAACUACGUG
rnacentral:rRNA from 1 species